rnacentral:rRNA from 1 species
CGUUCCCGGGCCUUGUACACACCGCCCGUCAAGCCAUGGAAGUUGGGAGUGCCUAAAGUCCGCAACCGCAAGGAGCGGCCUAGGGCAAUACCGAUGACUGGGGCU